rnacentral:rRNA from 7 species
AUGAAGAACGCAGCAAAAUGCGAUACUUGGUGUGAAUUGCAGAAUCCCGUGAACCAUCGAGUUUUUGAACGCAAGUUGCGCCCGAAGCCAUCCGGCUGA